rnacentral:tRNA from 1 species
AUUGUUUUAAAUAAAAAAUAUUAUUUUAAUUAUACUAAAAUUUAAUUUUUUCUUGAAUUUAUAAAUUGACAUGAUUUUAAAUAAUUUGUAGGUUUAUCUUAUUUUUUAAUAUUUUUUUAAAUAUAUAAUAUUUCUAAAAACUUAAUUAUAUAUACAAGAUUAAAUACUCAGUUUUUUAUAAAAAAAUGUUUACAAAUAAAGAAUUAUUCAUGUUUUUAAAUAUUAUAAAUAAUA